rnacentral:rRNA from 1 species
CAGCAGCCGCGGUAAUACGUAGGGUGCAAGCGUUAAUCGGAAUUACUGGGCGUAAAGCGUGCGCAGGCGGUUCUGUAAGACAGAUGUGAAAUCCCCGGGCUCAACCUGGGAAUGGCAUUUGUGACUGCAGGACUAGAGUUCAUCAGAGGGGGGUGGAAUUCCAAGUGUAGCAGUGAAAUGCGUAGAUAUUUGGAAGAACACCAAUGGCGAAGGCAGCCCCCUGGGAUGCGACUGACGCUCAUGCACGAAAGCGUGGGGAGCAAACAGGAUUAGAUACCCUGGUAGUCCACGCCCUAAACGAUGUCUACUGGUUGUUGGGAAUUUAAUAUUCUUGGUAACGAAGCUAACGCGUGAAGUAGACCGCCUGGGGAGU